rnacentral:rRNA from 1 species
AUUGAACGCUGGCGGCAGGCUUAACACAUGCAAGUCGAGCGGAGCGAGGGUGCUUGCACCUUAGCUUAGCGGCGGACGGGUGAGUAAUGCUUAGGAAUCUGCCUAUUAGUGGGGGACAACAUUCCGAAAGGGAUGCUAACACCGCAUACGCCCUACGAGGGAAAGCAGGGGAUCUUCGGACCUUGCGCUAAUAGAUGAGCCUAAGUCGGAUUAGCUAGUUGGUGGGGUAAAGGCCUACCAAGGCGACGAUCUGUAGCGGGUCUGAGAGGAUGAUCCGCCACACUGGGACUGAGACACGGCCCAGACUCCUACGGGAGGCAGCAGUGGGGAAUAUUGGACAAUGGGGGGAACCUGAUCCAGCCAUGCCGCGUGUGUGAAGAAGGCCUUAUGGUUGUAAAGCACUUUAAGCGAGGAGGAGGCUACUGAGACUAAUACUCUUGGAUAGUGGACGUUACUCGCAGAAUAAGCACCGGCUAACUCUGUGCCAGCCGCCGCGGUAAUAC